GGGGUCUCGAUGUUCCACCCCGGCCAGAGCCUGGGCUCCCUGGGGGCUCACGGGGGGGCCGCCCUGGGCCUGGCCCUGGGUUGGCUCGAGGGCUGUGACGGAGCCGCCCUUUGGGCCACCCUCGCCCUCAGUGUCCCCACGGCCGUGACGGAGCUGCUGCUGCUGGGCCGGGUCCUGCUGGGACAGAGGGGGCGGUGACCCCCCCACCCCACCAGAGACCCCUCCCCACCCCCAAAACAUCCUCAGGGGUCCCCAAACCUCCCUCACUCCCCCUU